CGUUCGGAUUGUAAACCUCUGUCACCGGGGAAGAAACGUUUGAGUUAACAGCUCAAAGCCUGACUUAACCCGGAGAGGAAGCAGUGGCUAACUCUGUGC
rnacentral:rRNA from 1 species